rnacentral:rRNA from 1 species
UACGUAGGGGGCAAGCGUUGUCCGGAUUUAUUGGGCGUAAAGCGCUCGCAGGCGGCCUGAUGCGUCGUGCGUGAAACACCCCGGCUCAACUGGGGGGGGUCGUGCGAUACGGUCAGGCUCGAGGCCAGUAGGGGGACGCGGAAUUCCGGGUGUAGUGGUGGAAUGCGUAGAGAUCCGGAGGAACACCAGCGGCGAAGGCGGCGUCCUGGACUGGUACUGACGCUCAGGAGCGAAAGCGUGGGGAGCGAACAGG